AGGGACUCGAGAGGGUCAAGUCAGAGAAGGAGGUUGAGAAUAAGCAGCAGCAGCUGAUUAAAGCACCUCCCCUGUGCCCACUGGGCCAUGUAGUGUCCAACUGCCAGGUCUGUGCAGUGGUGGGAAACUCAAGGUCUCUACGGAGCUCUGGCCUUGGCUUCAGGAUUAAUCAACGUGAAGUGGUCCUCAGGUGGGUGCAGGGUAGGAGGUGGAGACCAAGACCAAGCCGAAGCCUUUUCCUCCUCUAAAUGACCAUCCUAACUUCCUUUUCAGGAUGAACCAGGCCCCUGUCCGAGGCUUUGAGGCAGAUGUGGGGAACAGGACCACCAUGCGCAUUAUGUACCCUGGGAUUGCCAGCCCUCAGGACCCCGGUACCCAACUGCUGCUGCUUCCGUUGAAUUCAUCUGGUCUGGAGUGGUUCAUAAGUGUACUGCAUAAACAGACAAGCAUGUGGAAGCAAAAAAAACCCUGGAUUUCAGACAGUUCAGGUUCCUGGUGGAACUGAAGACAGCAAAGAUAAGGUGCUGGUGAUCAGCCUCUACUUCCUCAGGUAUAUCCAGGAAAGUUGGCUGGAGAACCAUGGUCAGUAUCCGUCCUUGGAGUUUGUGGCUCUGUUGUAUGCCUUGCAUACCUGUGACCAGAAUACCAGAUCAUCUUGAAACUGCAGUGUGAGAGGAAGAUUGCUGUCUACGGCUGAGAUGUUUCCAGUGGAGUCCCCAGGAGGCUUGACAGGUAGCCAAGGGGACCUUGUGGUGUCAGAGAGGGACUAGGGCUUCAAGCAGACCCUGGAUGGAGAUUACUCUGCUACUGAAUGAAACCCUAGCUUAUUUCUCUCUCUGGAUUUCUGGUGGCAUUAAAGGGCUACAUUCUAUUACUGAUUCUGUCUUAUCACCAUGUGACUCUCUUAUGCUGUAUCUUACCAAAAAAUAAAAUUAAA
rnacentral:lncRNA from 1 species